AGAAGGGCUUCCGCUACGGCAACGUUCGGGGGCCUUUUUCUUUUGC
rfam:Agrobacterium radiobacter K84 chromosome 2, complete sequence.